UUUUUAGUCUCUAAAAUGGUCUAUAAUUUUAUCCAAUAGUAACUAAUUAUUUUGGUAUUUAAAAUUAGUUGCAAUGUAAUGAUUUUCUUAUAGUGUUGUGGGACAUAUGAUAUGGGUUUUUGGGGGUUUAUUUAUCUAGUUUGGAAAUGGUAUUGCUAGUUGUGCUCCUUUUGUGCAGGCGCAAAGGACUAGAGGACUCCAACAACUCUAGAAACCUUUUUGUUGCUAGCUAGGAUCAAAUUCUA
rnacentral:lncRNA from 1 species